rnacentral:rRNA from 1 species
UACAGAGGUCCCAAGCGUUGUUCGGAUUCACUGGGCGUAAAGGGUGCGUAGGCGGUCGGGUAAGUCUGAUGUGAAAUCUCACAGCUUAACUGUGAAACUGCAUUGGAUACUAUCCGGCUAGAGGAAUGGAGGGGAGACUGGAAUACUUGGUGUAGCAGUGAAAUGCGUAGAUAUCAAGUGGAACACCAGUGGCGAAGGCGGAUCUCUGGGCCUUACCUGACGCUCAGGUGCGAAAGCUAGGGGAGCGAACAGG